ACCUUCGGGGUGUAAUGGUCAGCACACUCGACGCUUAGUCGAGAGGUCCGAGGUUCGAGUCCCGGCAAGGGCA
rnacentral:tRNA from 1 species